GUCUUAACUUGUCCCCUAUCUGGCUGAGACAAAUCUGGAAGAUUUAUCUGGCUUGAAGAACCAGUCUCAUAUAACCAGUUUUAACUAGGGAAUAGUCAAAUAGGGAUACACUGUCUUCCCACAGGGACAGGGGGAGAGGAAUAGGGUUGAAGGAAAGGAGCUAAAGGACCUUUAUCGUCCCCUCUCUUCAUUAGUACAUACUUGUAUCAUGUAACCAAUAGUACAGUGAGUAGUAGCACAGGCCUGCAUUUAUGUUCUGGCUCCUCAAAUCUGCAGGUUGAAAGCACUGUGUAAGAGAUUAUUUAGUAGUGAUGCAGAGAAGAAGCAUGAAAAGUUAAAUUAAGCUGGGAAGGGGAAAACAUAACCUGAAUGUUGGCCCAAAGCUUCCUGCCGCUGUGACAUAAGAGACCCUAGGAGGAUUGCUUCUCGAGGAAUCAAUGGCACAGAGCAGAAGAGCUGCCAAGAGUGGCCACCAAACCGGGCCAAGGGUGGCCCAAGGACGGUCAGUCGCAUUUUGUCCGUCGCCUCCGAUGGACUUCAGGGAAGCCUCGGGAGCACUAUGAAUUCUUAGAGGAGCUGUGCAAAAACCGCGCUUAAGCCUUAACUCCACCUUAGAGUUCCCAUCCAGGGAAGGGAGCCAAAGAUAACUGCCUCUUCCAAAGAAAGAUCUUCUGGAGUCUACAUCACCCCCUGAUGUUUUGAAAUUUCCAGUGGACCACAUCAGUCAUGGUGGAGUGAGAAGCAGCAUUUACGCUCAACCUUUCCUCAAGAGGUACAGCACCCUGUGUUGAGGAUACCGUUUGUUUCAAAAAAUCCCACAUAUGUUAGAAUCCUUUAGGCUCCUAUUAUAACAUAUAGUGAUUAAAAAGAA